ACAUGCCUACAACAUAGCGUUAAUGCACCGAAUCCCAUUAGAACUCCGCAGUUAAGCGCACUCAGGCUAGAGUAGUAUUGGGAUGGGUGACUGCUCAGUAAGUCCUAGUAUUUUACAUGCU
rnacentral:rRNA from 1 species